ACACGCUUCGCUCAGCCAGCAGCAGAUGCCGUCACGUGACCCACUGCACAGUUGUUCAACCCUAAAUAACUGAACCAGCCACUCACAACAGGCCUAGCAGAUCAGAUGGUUUUACGCACUCUGCUCUUGUGUACGUGCUUGCUCCCUCUCCCCCGGGAACGCGCAGUCAGACAGAAAGAACCCCAUACAGAAUCAGUCGAUAUAAUCGAGAGCAAUCAUCAGAAAACACGCGAUAUGAAGUGGGGCGUCGCCUGACCCACUAGUUUGUCAGAAGGUUCAAAUGAGGCAGUUUCAUAUCGUAAUUUGGCUCCCGAGUGGCGCAGCGGUCUAAGGCACUGUAUCUCAGUGCAUGAGACGUCACAACAGACACCCUGGUUCGAUUCCAGGCUGUAUCGCAACCGGCCGUGAUUGGGAGUCCCAAAUAAUAGUUUGUUCUUAACUGACUUGCCUUGUUAAGUAAAGGUUAAUUUAAAAAAAUGAAAGUAUUAUGUUGGUGGCGGUAAUGAUCAUUUGUAUUGUGCUAAAACUAGAAGAUCUUCUGACGUCCUUCUUUUCCCCUGUUCAAAGAUGCCAUCUUUUCGCAGAAAAAGAGCUACGCUGGUUUACAGAGACCUGACUAGAGGCGUGACAGCACACCCCUGCCUUUAACUUGGAUCGGUCUAGGGAGUACUCGGAGAACAGAGCCGGUUCCCUCUGCAGCAGAAGUUGUGCCCAGCUGCAGUGAUGCACCUCCUCCACCAGCAUAAAAAAAAAGAAAGGCAGAGGAUGUUGAGGCCUGGAAGGGGUUGAGGGAGCUACUCCACACUACAAAUCAGCCGGCUAGACAAUCUAGACCCUCUCUUUCUAAAAUGAUCCGCUGAAAUUGUUGCAACCCCUAUUACUAGCCUGUUCAACCUCUCUUUCUUAUCGUCUGAGAUCCCCAAAGAUUAGAAAGCUGCCGCGGUCAUCCCCCUCUUCAAAGGGGGAGACACUCUAGACCCAAACUGCUACAGACCUAUAUCUAUCCUACCCUGCCUUUCUAAGGUCUUCGAAAGCCAAGUUAACAAACAGAUCACCUACCAUUUUGAAUCCCACCGUACCUUCUCUGCUAUGCAAUCUGGUUUCCGAGCUGGUCAUGGAUGCACCUCAGCCACGCUCAAGGUCCUGAAUGUUAUCAUAACCGCCAUAGAUAAGAGAUAAUACUGUGCAGCCUUAUUCAUCGACCUGGCCAAGGCUUUCGACUCUGUCAAUCACCACAUUCUUAUCGGCAGACUCAAAAGCCUUGGUUUCUAAAAUGACUGCCUCGCCUGGUUCACCAACUACUUCUCAGACAGAAUUCAG